UGAAUAGGACUGAAUACAAAUAAAAACAUAUACAGGAGAGAAAACUUCACGGUUUGUUUCUCCUUAUACUUCAGUAAAAGUACUAAGAACUCUGGUUAUUAUUAUUCAGGAGAGCCAGUCAGAGGAGGAGCGUCUGAGGAGCAUCCUGCAGGAGAAGCAGGAGGAGGUGCAGCAGCUCAGGGAGGAGAGGGGAGAGGUGGAGGAGCUGAGAGCCAGAGCCAAGGCCCUGGAGAGGAGGAGGACAGAGAUGAUGGAGGAGCUGCAGAAGGCCCGACGGGAGAAGGAGGAUGCUGAGGAGCAGUGGCGGAGCAGAGUGGAGGAGGAGCAGGAGGUGAAGCUGAAAGCUCUGUCCAGAGAAGUCCGGACCCUGAGGGAGAGAGAGGAGGAGAAGGAGUGGAGGUCCAGGGUGGAGGAGGCGGAGGAGACGGAUGGACUGAGGAGGAGAGACAGAGAGACGGACAAGGAGGAGAAAGGAGGAGGAGAGGUGAGCUGGUUUCUACCAACGUUAUGCUUUAAAGCUCUUCAUACAAACUGCAGAAAAGUGAUUCAAUAGUUAACUGUCUUCCUGAGGAGGAGCAGAACUCCUCUCUGCUGCAGGAGAAGGAGGAGCAGAACUCCUCUCUGAUGAAGGAGGAGCAGAACUCCUCUCUGAUGCAGGAGAAGGAGGAGCAGAACUCCUCUCUGCUGCAGGAGGAGGAGGAGAUCAGGAGGCAGCUGAGGCAAAGAGAAGCCGAGGUGUACACUCUGAGUCAGAGGACGGUGGAGCUGGAGAGGGACAGGGAUCGCGUCCGAUUGGCUCUGGAGAGAACUGAGGCGGCUAUGAUUGGCUACAGGGAAAGAGCCCACCAAUGGGAGCAGAGCGUGGAGGCGGGCUCUAACACGGACGAGGUCAGUGAGUCUACUCUGAUAGACAGAAUCGGAGUUUCGGGCUUCCGGUGGAAUCGCAAUGCAUGCUGGGGUGGCAAGCCUAGAAAAGUGAGCACCAACUCUA
rnacentral:lncRNA from 1 species